UCACAUGAUUGUAAAAUGGCGGAAGUCACAAAUGUUCUUAAAAUAAAUCACUCACGGGUGUAAGCCAUUUGAAAUAGGCAUAACUCCAAGAUGUCGAUGGUAACCAUUCCGAGAGUAAAGAAAAAGUGUCACCAUUCCCAUGGAGAAAUGACUUGAACAACAAAAUAAUUUUAUGUGUGCAAGACUGGUGAUGCCAAAAUCAGUGAGUGUUUUGACCUGUUGAGCCGCUAUGUGAUCCACUCUCAGUCUGUCGGGCCAGGGUACAACAUUAAAUAUGUGACUGCAGAAGAAGGGGCUCUGUUCUGCAGCUACAGUAAACGUCCUGCAACUACUCACUAGUCAGAGAGAAUUCCAUCCGCACCUUGGGUUUAGGCUGUGUGCAUUCUGGUAAAAGAGGGUACCCACCAAAAGAAAGCGCUCAUAUUGCAAUACGAAGAUCAUUGGUUGGAUGUUUGCAAUGCCAAGCUACAUGUCUUCCAAGCUGAUUUCCACAAAGAACAAAGUUGCCAGAAAGAAACUGGGCUCUACCGAUGCGUGCAACUAAAAAAACCUUCCAAUGAUGUUAUGUUAUCAGAUGAAACUUCUGUUAAGAUGUCAUCAACAAGCAGGUUGAUGGUUUUGCCUGAUAGGACAUGGUUUUGACGAACUGCCAACAAGAGCUUCAAGGAGAAAACAACCCUACAUGUACCAGUGUUGAUGGUGUUUAUCAUGUCGGUACACUGCUUGUUUGCCAUCUGUGUGUGCCACCAUCCGCUAAAGAAGCCGCGCCUCCUACUCUGCAGAUUCCAAAGCCCCGCCGGGAACCUUCAGCACUCACACCAUCUCCUGCAGGACAACGACGACGAUGAUGAACUCUGAUCUUAUGAUCUGUUGUUAAUUAUCUAUAAGGCUAUAUUAGAAUUCAUGAUUGUUUUUUCAUACAUGUAGUGUUUUUUGAAAGAAACACAAGUUACAUGUUGUCAAAGCCUUGUUGUUGUUGGCCUCUAUUUCAGGCCAAAGUUUUUUGUUACAUGUUCUAGUCUUAACUCAAAAACGAUCAACAUAUUGACAUGAGACUUGGUACGAGUUAUCAGUGCAAAGUUAUGCCUCUUGAUGAACUUUGAGGAAAAUAGAUGAGCACACUUGGGCGCUAUAUUGAUAUCAGCUAUAUUGACUGAUUUACAACCAAAUGCAUCCCAGUUUAAACAAAAAACUGUCACUGGAAGUGCUACACACAAAUUCAUUCCAAUUAGGACAAGAAUCAAGUGCAGUUCACAGAAAUGUAAGGGACAUGUACAAUAAGCAUCGUUUUUAGGUAGGGAUGAGAAGAUACGGUCAUCAGGUGAUACGAUACAUAUCGAUACAACUACAUGCAGAUACGAUAUUUUUGAUACGAUACAGAUACGUAAACACAGUUACAGAAACACACAAAAGAUACCAGAAUUGUUUAAUUUUAU